rnacentral:tRNA from 1 species
UAGCUCAAAUGGUAGAGAUUAUGCUUUGCAUGUAUGAGGCCCUGGGUUCAAUUCCCAG